rnacentral:rRNA from 1 species
GAUGAACGCUGGCGGCGUGCCUAAUACAUGCAAGUCGAGCGAACAGACGAGGAGCUUGCUCCUCUGACGUUAGCGGCGGACGGGUGAGUAACACGUGGAUAACCUACCUAUAAGACUGGGAUAACUUCGGGAAACCGGAGCUAAUACCGGAUAAUAUAUUGAACCGCAUGGUUCAAUAGUGAAAGACGGUUUUGCUGUCACUUAUAGAUGGAUCCGCGCCGCAUUAGCUAGUUGGUAAGGUAACGGCUUACCAAGGCGACGAUGCGUAGCCGACCUGAGAGGGUGAUCGGCCACACUGGAACUGAGACACGGGGCAGACUCCUACGGGAGGCAGCAGUAGGGAAUCUUGCGCAAAGGGCGAAAGCCUGACGGAGCAACGCCGCGUGAGUGAUGAAGGUCUUCGGAUCGUAAAACUCUGUUAUUAGGGAAGAACAAAUGUGUAAGUAACUAUGCACGGCUUGACGGUACCUAAUCAGAAAGCCACGGCUAACUACGUG